UAAUUCAAUACAUCAGUAUUUCUUGAUUCAGUAUAUUCUUGAUUUCCUUUUCCUGCCUCAGCGCUGAACUAUGUACCAAAAUCACAUGCUGGGAACCAAAACCAGAGAGCUUGAUACACGGCUCGAAGAGAGCAGCUAGCUCACAAUACGGACAUUUCCCAUCAUCCGCCUCAAAUUUCUCAUCAGUUUCAACUGGACAUUUGAAGCCUUCGUCAGCGAAACCGUCUCCAGACGUUUGAUACUAGCGGAGAGCUUUCUGCAAUACUCAACACAAAAUAGACUGUUUCGUAUUUAAAAAAAAAAAAAAAAAAAAAAAAAUUCCACUACGACCGCCCCGCCCCGCGGGGAGAGAGCCGCGCCCCUCACAGCCCCGGCCCCGCCCCGCAGCGCCUGCGCACUGCCCCGCGCAUGCGCGCUGGCGGCAUCUCUCCCUCACGUACUUCCCGUUCCCUGUCCCCGGUUCCCGUGCCGCUCCCCCGGUCCCUGUGCCGUUCCCCUCGCUCCCGCCCCGCCGCACUGCCCGCGGGCGAUGCGCUGCUCCCGGCGCAGAGCAGGCGGGCGGCGCCUGAGCUCCUGAGCGCUCGCAGCUCUUCCCCGCAGGAGCUCUCUCUCUCCGUCCCGCCAUGGAGCAGCCGUACGGCGGGCAGGCCCUAGCUGGCGGCGGAGCGCUGGGGCCUGUGGAUGUGCCCAGCGCCCGGCUGACUCGGUACAUCGUGCUGCUGUGCUUCGCUAAGGUUUUGAAAGCCGUGGGGCUGUUUGAAUCCUAUGAUCUCCUGAAAGUGGUCCACCUCGUGCAGUUUAUCUUCAUAGUGCAGCUGGGAUCUGCUUUUUUUAUGGUUUUGUUUCAAAAACCAUUUUCUUCUGGAAAAGUGGUAACCAAACGUCAGUGGAUCAAAAUUUUUAAGCAUGCUGUUGUUGGAUGUAUCAUUUCACUCUUGUGGUUUUUUGGCCUUACUCUUUGUGGACCACUGAGGACGUUGUUACUGUUUGAGCACAGUGAUGUGGUUGUGCUGUCACUUCUUAGUGUCUUGUUCACAAGCUCAGGUGGAGGACCAGCAAAGACAAGAGGUGCUGCAUUUUUCAUCAUAGCUAUCAUCUGCUUACUACUUUUUGAUAAUGAUGACCUCAUGGCUAAAAUAGCAGAACAUCCUGAAGGGCAUCAUGACAGUGCUCUUACCCAUGUUUUGUAUACAAUCAUUGCUUUCCUGGGUGUUGCAGAUCACAAGGGGGGAGUACUGCUUCUGGUACUGGCAUUGUGCUGCAAGGUUGGUUUCCACAUGGCAUCCCGAAAAUUAUCUGUAGAUGUAGGUGGAGCCAAGCGUCUUCAAGCUUUGUCUCAUCUUGUUUCUGUCCUUCUGUUGUGCCCAUGGGUUAUUGUUCUCUCUCUAACAACAGAGAGUAAAGUGGAGUCUUGGUCUUCUCUCAUCAUGCCUUUCAUAACAGUCAUCUUUUUUGUUGUGAUCCUGGAUUUCUACGUGGAGUCCAUAUGCUCUGUGAAGAUGGAAGCUUCCACAUGUGCUCGAUAUGGAUCCUUUCUUAUUUUCAUUAGUGCACUGCUUUUUGGAAACUUUUGGACUCAUCCAAUAACAGACCAGCUUCGAGCUAUGAACAAGCCACCACACCAUGAAAGCACAGAGCAUGUUCUUUCUGGAGGGGUGGUAGUGAGUGCAGUCUUCUUCAUUUUAUCUGCCAAUAUCCUGUCCUCCCCCUCCAGGAAAGGGCAGAAGGGUACCCUUAUUGGCUAUUCCCCUGAAGGCACUCCUCUCUAUAACUUCAUGGGUGAUGCAUUACAGCAAAGCUCCCAGUCAUUGCCCCGGUUUAUCAAGGAGUCACUAAAACAAAUCCUUGAGGAGUAUGAUUCUCGGCAGAUCUUCUAUUUCUUGUGCCUAAAUCUGGCUUUCACUUUUGUGGAGCUUUUUUAUGGAGUAUGGACCAAUAGCCUUGGUCUUAUUUCUGAUGGAUUUCAUAUGCUUUUUGAUUGUUCUGCGUUAGUGAUGGGGCUUUUUGCAGCUCUGAUGACAAGAUGGAAAGCAACUCGCAUAUUUUCAUAUGGGUAUGGACGUGUAGAAAUUCUCUCUGGUUUUAUUAAUGGCCUCUUUCUGAUGGUGAUUGCUUUCUUUGUCUUCAUGGAAUCAGUGGCAAGACUGGUAGAUCCUCCAGACAUAGAUACAAACAUGCUGACUCCGGUCUCUGUUGGAGGGUUGAUUGUAAACCUUGUUGGUGUCUGUGCCUUCAGCCACGCUCACUCCCACGGGGCUUCUCGGGGAAGCUGUCCCACACAUGAUCACAGCCAUUCUCACCACGGCCACAGCCACAGCCACGGGCACGGCCAUUCGCACAGUGACCAUGGCCACAGCCAUGGACAUUCCCAUGGAUCUUCUGGAGGAGGCAUGAACACCAACAUGAGAGGCGUGUUUCUGCAUGUGUUAGCAGACACUCUUGGCAGUGUUGGUGUUAUCGUAUCCACGAUACUAAUUCAGCAAUUUGGAUGGCUCAUAGCUGAUCCGCUCUGCUCUCUCUUUAUUGCUACACUGAUUUUUCUUAGUGUUAUCCCACUAUUGAAAGACGCCUGUCAAGUGCUUUUGUUGAGGAUACCUCCAGAACAGGAGAAAGAUCUGCAUGCUGCUUUAGAAAAGAUUCAAAAAAUAGAGGGAGUUAUAUCCUACAGAGAUCCUCAUUUUUGGUGUCACUCAGCAGCUGUUGUGGCAGGUACAAUACAUGUGCAAGUGGUAUCUGAUGUGAUGGAACAGAGAAUUGUACAGCAGGUCACAGCAAUUCUGAAAGAUGCUGGUGUAAACAACUUAACGGUCCAAGUGGAGAAGGAAGCUUAUUUUCAACAUAUGUCUGGACUCAGUACAGGAUUUCAGGAUGUCCUUGCAAUGACUCAGCAGCUAGAAUCCAUGAAAUACUACAAAGAUGCUUCCUCUGAGCAAAUGGCAAUUUCCUACUUCAGCUAGUAGCAGCGGAACUCAAAACAAAUUGAGGUGGCUGGCACUGUGGUAAGGGUGGUGAAGAGGAGCCCAUACCUGGAUAUUUCACAGGCAAGUGCACACCUGCAUCUUAGCUUGCAUUUGGCAGGUUUUUGCAUGUUACCUAGCACUCAUGCACAGUGUUCUUUCUGGCUCUCCUGGCAAGAAGACAAUGGCAAUAAGCAUUGUCUAUCUUGCAACAUCCAUCUUAAACUUGUUUAGUCUGACAAUAAUCCACCAAAAAAGGGUUCAUGAUGGGAGAAAUCUUGUCUGGACAGUGGGAGAUCUUAGCCAAGUAUUCACUGAGUCCUCAUGGAGGCGUGAGUGAAUCUCUAAUAUCUGACAUCUCUCUUUAUUGCAUCAAAGCAUACAUAUUUUAUAUGGUUUGUUACAAUGAUCACCAUAAUCUAGCAAGCGUACAAUUGGUUAUUAAGCACUGUCCACAUAUUACUUGUUACUUACUGAUUGGUUUCACGCACUUUUACAGCAUCUUCCCCGCUCCUUGGCUCAAGCAGUCUGGCAGCCUAAUCUAGUCACGUCCGUUUUACCUGUUUCCGAUACUUUCCCUGCACAUCUAUUUAUUUAUUUGGUACUUUAAUGUACUUUCCCAUCCACUUACUGUUGUUACUUUUAUGAUUCUUUCCCAUCCGCUUACUGUUGUUACUUUAUGGUUCUUUCCCAUAUAUUUCAUUCAGGGAUAGCUAAAUUCUCCAUUCUCCCAGCCAUGUACAGGGUUGUGUGUUUUAGUCUCAAUGAGGAUAUUAUGUCCUUGUUCAGCCAUAAUUUCCUCUACAGGUUCAAGAUUCCCCACAAGAUCUAAUGGAACCGUGCUGUGUGGGCAGGUUUUCAAGCCAUAGGUGCAGGCCAGUUGAUUCGUAUCUUAGUACUGGGCGACGGCGUCGGGAGGUUCAAUCUAGUCACCUGAUCUAUAUGCAGAGUUGCAACAAAACACUUUGAAAGAUUAAACAGGUUUGAAAGGAACUCCGAGCGAGCAGCACGCGUGUACCUAAGGAGGAAAAUGCUAGUGUUUUCCUGUAAUGUUUUAUUCCCUAGUGCAGAAGCCAUGGGUACGUGAGCAGGGCCCGAGUUGCGGGGAUGCGGCGGGCGGCCAGCAUCGGCGGCGGCUGAGGCUUUAAAGGCGCGGCGCUGCUCUCUCCUGCGCGGCGGGCUCGCCUCGGCCUCUAGUGCGAAGCGGAGCAGCCGUGAAGCCCCUCACCUCCGCAUCUACAGCUCUUCGGCUCCGGACCCGUGCGGUCUUGCCCCGGCUCCGUUCCUCCAGCCCGCCGGCGCUGCCUGCAGCGCUGCCCCGAUUUUCCCGUUUCCGGGCUCGGGGUGCAGUGCACACCCACACGGGCCGUCCCGCUGACCGCCCUUCUCUCGCCCUCCCCGGCAGUCCCGCUCCGCCGCCGAUUCCUCGAACGAGAGGAGCGCGCCGCGCGUCCCCAAGAAUGGGACGAAGACCGCCCCUACGAUGGGAGGACAUCGGCAGCUGAGCCGAAAGUGCGCCUAGCUGCCAAGAAGUCGCCAAGUUGAAGAGGGACCACGGGCAGCCGAAUGUCAAGUACGCCCCUGCCGCCGGGGAGGAUGGUUACCAGGAGGCUGCGAGGCUUUCUCCAAGGAAAACGUGCCUCCGCCAGCCCGUGACCCCCAGCUAAAGCCCUCCAGGUGUUAUAAGUGUUUGAUACACACACUGACUCAGAGCCAAUUGUACAUCAAGCAAUGGAAUUUAUUAAGCAAGCGGUAACAAGCAAAAGCAGCGCUGGGCGGCCGGGAGUUAGCGCUCCACCAACGGCGCGCACUUUCCUCUCUCAGUCCUUUGGGUUUUAUACCCCUUGUUUCUGAUAUACGUGUCCCUUUUGCAGUCGGGUCUGCGCUGGCACUGCCUGUUGAUAGGGGUCGUACUUUGCUCUCCGGUGGUCGUUGGAAUGAAGAAGACUCCUCUUCCUGGCAGAACCUCUGCCUUAUCAGUAGAUCCUUUUUACACGUUGAACAAUGGAUACUUAAGUAUGGUUAAUUAACUCAGCUCAAACUAAUCAAGACAUUCUUGUGGACUACGGGUGCAUGACUUGUGCCCUCUCAGAUCCGGUUCUAUUCUUUGUUAUUUUAUUGAACUCUUGGUAGUCCUUUUAUUUUAAUGAACAAUUUUUAUGUUGUUUUUAUUACAAUCCCUCCUUUUCUUCUUUCAUAAUUUGUUCAUUAAAUCUUUUUAAUUCUUGAUA